GAUGAACGCUAGCGGCAGGCUUAAUACAUGCAAGUCGAGGGGCAGCGCAGUGUAGCAAUACAUGGGCGGCGACCGGCAAACGGGUGCGGAACACGUACGCAACCUUCCUUUAAGUGGGGGAUAGCCCAGGGAAACUUGGAUUAAUACCCCGUAAUAUUAUGAAGUGGCAUCACUUUAUACUUAUAGCUCCGGCGCUUAAAGAUGGGCGUGCGACUGAUUAGGUAGUUGGCGGGGUAACGGCCCACCAAGCCUGCGAUCAGUAACUGGUGUGAGCGCAAGACCAGUCACACGGGAACUGGGACACGGGCCCGACUCCUACGGGAGGCAGCAGUAAGGAAUAUUGGUCAAUGGACGCAAGUCUGAACCAGCCAUGCCGCGUGAAGGAUGAAGGUCCUCUGGAUUGUAAACUUCUUUUAUAGGGGAAGAAACCUCUUGAUUCUUCGAGAGUUGACGGUACCCUAGGAAUAAGCACCGGCUAACUCCGUGCCAGCCGCCGCGGUAACAC
rnacentral:rRNA from 1 species